CUUCUUUCACGAUGGUGGUCACCUCCACCACAGGUUCUUCAACAAUGGUCACUUCAACAAUGGGUUCUACAACAGGUUCCGGAAUGAAUGCCUCAGCGAUGGGUUCUGGAAUAGGAUCCUCCUUGGGUUUCUUUUCCUUCUUAGCCUUUUGCUUUUUAGGUUUUUCUUCUUCAGGUUUCUGAUCCUUAGGUUCGUCGCCGACGCGGGUUUCGGUUACGUUUGUAGUGACUUCCGUUGUUUGAGAAACGAUCGACGACCAUGACAGAGGUUUUGAUGGGGCGACUUCAUUUGGUUCCGGCUGUGGCUCAGGAAUGACUUCUUUUACAAUAGUGGUCACCUCAGCCACAGGUUCUUCAACAAUGGGUUCAACAACAGGUUCCGCAAUUAAUGCCUCAGCAACGGGUUCUUGAACAGGAUCUACCUUAGGCUUCUUUUC